GCCACACUGGGACUGAGACACGGCCCAGACUCCUACGGGAGGCAGCAGUAGGGAAUCUUCCGCAAUGGACGAAAGUCUGACGGAGCAACGCCGCGUGAGUGAUGAAGGUUUUCGGAUCGUAAAGCUCUGUUGUUAGGGAAGAACAAGUGCGAGAGUAACUGCUCGCACCUUGACGGUACCUAACCAGAAAGCCACGGCUAACUACGUGCCAGCAGCCGCGGUAAUACGUAGGUGGCAAGCGUUGUCCGGAAUUAUUGGGCGUAAAGGGCUCGCAGGCGGUUUCUUAAGUCUGAUGUGAAAGCCCCCGGCUCAACCGGGGAGGGUCAUUGGAAACUGGGAAACUUGAGUGCAGAAGAGGAGAGUGGAAUUCCACGUGUAGCGGUGAAAUGCGUAGAGAUGUGGAGGAACACCAGUGGCGAAGGCGACUCUCUGGUCUGUAACUGACGCUGAGGAGCGAAAGCGUGGGGAGCGAACAGGAUUAGAUACCCUGGUAGUCCACGCCGUAAACGAUGAGUGCUAAGUGUUAGGGGGUUUCCGCCCCUUAGUGCUGCAGCUAACGCAUUAAGCACUCCGCCUGGGGAGUACGGUCGCAAGACUGAAACUCAAAGGAAUUGACGGGGGCCCGCACAAGCGGUGGAGCAUGUGGUUUAAUUCGAAGCAACGCGAAGAACCUUACCAGGUCUUGACAUCCUCUGACAACCCUAGAGAUAGGGCUUUCCCUUCGGGGACAGAGUGACAGGUGGUGCAUGGUUGUCGUCAGCUCGUGUCGUGAGAUGUUGGGUUAAGUCCCGCAACGAGCGCAACCCUUGAUCUUAGUUGCCAGCAUUUAGUUGGGCACUCUAAGGUGACUGCCGGUGACAAACCGGAGGAAGGUGGGGAUGAC
rnacentral:rRNA from 1 species